UACAGAGGGGGCCAGCGUUAUUCGGAAUUAUUGGGCGUAAAGGGCGCGUAGGCGGCCUGUUAAGUCGAACGUGAAAUCCCCGGGCUCAACCCGGGAGCUGCGUCCGAUACUGGCAGGCUUGAAUCCGGGAGAGGGAUGCGGAAUUCCAGGUGUAGCGGUGAAAUGCGUAGAUAUCUGGAGGAACACCGGUGGCGAAGGCGGCAUCCUGGACCGGCAUUGACGCUGAGGCGCGAAAGCCAGGGGAGCAAACGGG
rnacentral:rRNA from 1 species